GACGAACGCUGGCGGCGUGCUUAACACAUGCAAGUCGAACGAUGAAGCCUUAGCUUGCUUUGGUGGAUUAGUGGCGAACGGGUGAGUAACACGUGAGCAACGUGCCCAGGACUCUGGAAUAACCGCGGGAAACCGAGGCUAAUACCGGAUAGGUGACGAGGUCGCAUGGUCUUCGGGUGGAAAUUUUUUGCGGUUCUGGAUCGGCUCACGGCCUAUCAGUUUGUUGGUGGGGUAAUGGCCUACCAAGGCGACGACGGGUAGUCGGCCUGAGAGGGUGAACGGCCACACUGGGACUGAGACACGGCCCAGACGCCUACGGGAGGCAGCAGUGGGGAAUAUUGCACAAUGGGCGCAAGCCUGAUGCAGAAACGCCGCGUGGGGGAUGACGGCCUUCGGGUUGUAAACCUCAUUUAGUAGGGAAGAAGCGCAAGUGACGGUACCUGCAGAAAAAGCACCGGCUAACUACGUG
rnacentral:rRNA from 1 species